rnacentral:rRNA from 1 species
UAUAGAGGUCCCAAGCGUUGUUCGGAUUCAUUGGGCGUAAAGGGUGCGUAGGUGGCGUCGUAAGUCGGGUGUGAAAUCUCGGGGCUUAACUCCGAAACUGCAUUCGAUACUGCGGUGCUUUGAGGACUGGAGAGGAGACUGGAAUUUACGGUGUAGCAGUGAAAUGCGUAGAGAUCGUAAGGAAGACCAGUGGCGAAGGCGGGUCUCUGGGCAACAACUGACGCUGAGGAGCGAAAGCGUGGGGAGCGAACAGG